rnacentral:piRNA from 1 species
UGGUGGCAUUUCUCUGGUGGUUC